GAUGAACGCUAGCGGGUGGCCUAACACAUGCAAGCCGAGCGGUAUUGUUUCUUCGGAAAUGAGAGAGCGGCGUACGGGUGCGUAACACGUGUGCAACCUGCCUUUAUCUGGGGGAUAGCCUUUCGAAAGGAAGAUUAAUACCCCAUAAUAUAUUGAACGGCAUCGUUUAAUAUUGAAAGCUCCGGCGGAUAGAGAUGGGCACGCGCAAGAUUAGCUAGUUGGUGAGGUAACGGCUCACCAAGGCGAUGAUCUUUAGGGGGCCUGAGAGGGUGAUCCCCCACACUGGUACUGAGACACGGACCAGUCUCCUACGGGAGGCAGCAGUGAGGAAUAUUGGUCAAUGGGUGCAAGCCUGAACCAGCCAUCCCGCGUGAAGGACGACUGCCCUAUGGGUUGUAAACUUCUUUUGUAUAGGGAUAAACCUACCCUCGUGAGGGUAGCUGAAGGUACUAUACGAAUAAGCACCGGCUAACUCCGUGCCAGCAGCCGCGGUAA
rnacentral:rRNA from 1 species